rnacentral:rRNA from 1 species
UACGGGGGGGGCAAGCGUUGUUCGGAAUUACUGGGCGUAAAGGGCGCGUAGGCGGCCUGUUAAGUCACACGUGAAAUCCCUCGGCUCAACCGGGGAACUGCGUGUGAUACUGGCGGGCUUGAAUUCGGGAGAGGGAUGUGGAAUUCCAGGUGUAGCGGUGAAAUGCGCAGAUAUCAGGAAGAACACCCGUGGCGAAGGCGGUUCUCUGGGACGGUACUGACGCUGAGACGCGAAAGCGUGGGGAGCGAACAGG